CAAUUGAAAACUAAUAUGCCUCUCUUCGGGGGCAUAAAAAUAAUAAAAAUAGAUAACUGACCUCGAGCUAUCUGUCCAUAUUAGGCCUAAGACCACAAUUAUUUUUACUAAAAUGUUCUAUAGGCACAAUUUUGCAUGCACUCCAAAUCCCCUAAAAUACCUGCACUCGACAGAACUAAUCAAGACAAAAAAUUCCAGACGAAAUAAACCUCUCUAAAAGUUCAAUCCAAAAUGGAUAUAAAAUGACAUCAGGGUCCCGUUUUAUCAUCGAAGUCGGUCGUAAGGCCGGUCACAUCGUAAGACAGAUAUUUAAGAUUUUUUCUGCGACUACGGCUGAGCCGUUUUAUGAACACGGGCGUACGUCUUCGGUCGCAGCUAAGACUGUUUUCCGUCGUACGACCGAAAAACAGUGAUGCAGUCUGAAAUGUAAACAUCCGGGUCACGUGACUUAUGUCAAAAAUCGUCUGUAUCUAAUGACAAGAUGUCCGCUACAAAAGUAAAAACAAGCAGAAAGAGUAACUGGCAAGUAAAUGAAGUUAGUGUCCUUGUCAACGCAUGCACAAACAAUGUGUCUACCAUUUAUGGUAGGCACGGAGACACAAGUGAAAAGGAAAAGGGGCAGUUCUGGAGGGAUAUUUGUGAAAGAAUUAACAGUAUUGGAGGGUCAGACAGGUCGGUAGAGGAGGUGAUGAAAAAAUGAGAGAAUUAGAAGAGUCAGACAAAGAAGAAGGAGCAGAUCAGGAGGAAGGAAAUGGGGAAGACAGGUGGAGGUGGGGCAGUGAAUUCACUGAGAGAUUUGGAAGAGAAGAUAAUUUCAAAAAUAACAUCUGCCGUAAUAGAAGGAUUCAAUGAUGGACAUGACAUAUUCAAAACGAAUGCUGAAGAUGCCAAGGAAACACAUGUGCAACCAAGUACGAUUGAGACCGUUGUGCAGGUGGACGGGGAAGAGACAGUGGUAAUCCACCCAAGUACUAUUCAUGUACAGGUUGAAAGCAGAAAAGAUGUUGUAGAUGAAGGGAGAGAGAGCAAGAAGAGGAAAAGGGAGUUUUACUGCUUAACAAACUAUCAAAGACUUUGAGUGGUUUAUCGUCUAAUUUACCACAGUUAACUAAUGAAGCAUCUGAACUCUAAACCAUGAUCAUUGACUGAGUAAGAAGAGGCUCAGUUAUUUUUUUAUGAAGAAAACACUGCACUCUGCAGAAGUCAGAGAAACGUUACAGAGCAGCAAGUGAAAACCCUUUCUGUGCAAGAGGAGAUUUUUAAGUUAGCAACAAAGACACUGGCAGAAAAAAAUGAUUUGUCCGGCAUCCUGGGUCUGUUUACAGAACAAUAACAGAGGACAGCAUAUAAAGGAGGAUGAAAUUCCAUGUACACAGUUUCAAACUGAGAUAUUAUAAAGUAAAUCUUGUAGCACUUAUUUACUUUGUUGUUUCUUAAUGGUUUCAGUGCAUUUCUGUCUGCUAGUGAAGGCAGAGGAAUAUAGCUGUGGCUGUGGCUUUGUCUGGACUGCCAAAAUUUUUUAUCCACCCGAAACUAUAUCAAUUACAUGAUGUGGAGUAAUUAUACAAAACAUGGUAGAAUUUUUAAUUUAAACUCAGCACUGGGAAAACCCUUGUCAAAUUGUAUUAGUACGACAAGAGGUAUAGCCCUUUAUUCAUGUAAAUAUCAUUGUGGUUUAAACUGUUUACUGUCCUUCCAAGUAAGAAUAGGAAGAUUUCAAUUAAACUUGGUAGAAAUGCAAGUUGCUGCAGGGCAAUGCUUCCCUGCAGUUUCUGUCAGAUUUGUUGAGGAAGUUUUAUAACCCUUUUAAAUGCACACAAGCAUAUAAUUUUAUUUAUAUAAAUACUUCCCAUACUUGAAUUCUUUAAUGUGCUUGUCCAGCUUUCAAUUUUGACAUAGUUAUUAACAGUGAAAAUGAAUGCUUACCUAAAUAAACUGACUCAACAGUGCAGAUUAUGUUCAGAAUACACGGAUGUGCAGUCUUAUCUUGAUCU
rnacentral:misc_RNA from 1 species